CUGAACGCUGGCGGCGUGCCUAACACAUGCAAGUCGAACGAUGAUCCAGUCCUUGCGGGGCAGUGAAGUGGCGCACGGGUGAGUAACGACGUAGAUAAUCUGCCCUAAGCUCUGGGAUAACAUCUCGGAAACGGGGUGCUAAUACCGGAUAAGCCUCACGGGUCAUCGGACCUGCGGGAAGAGGGUGGACGCUUCUGGGCCUCUUGACAUCGGAUGAGUCUGCGUACCUAUCAGCUUAGUUGGUGGGGUAAGGCCUACCAAGGCGACGGAUGGUUAGCUGGUCCUGAGAGGAUGAUCAGCCACACUGGGAACUGAGACACGGCCCAGACUCCUACGGGAGGCAGCAGUGGGGAAUAUUGCGCAAUGGGGCGAAAGCCUGACGCAGCAACGCCGCGUGAGUGAUGAAGGCCUUCGGGUCGUAAAGCUCUGUCAGAGGGAAAGAAAUGCGGGUUAUACAUUCGCUUGACGGUACCUGCAGAAGGAAGCACCGGCUAACUCCGUGCCAGCAGCCGCGGUAAUACGGAGGGUGCGAAGCGUUGUUCGGAAUUAUUGGGCGUAAAGCGCGUCGUAGGCGGUUUGUCGAGUCUGCUGUGAAAGUCCCGGGCUCAACUCGGGAUAGUGCAUUGGAUACUGCAAGACUUAGAGUACGGUAGAGGGCAGACUGGAAUUCCUAGGUGUAGGAGUGAAAUCCGCUAGAUAUUCAGGAGGGACACCGAGUGGCGAAGGCGGCUGCCUGGACGAUUACUGACGCUGAGGACGCGAAAGCAUGGGGAGCGAACAGGAUUAGAUACCCUGGUAGUCCACUGCCGUAAACGUUGAGUCACUAGGUGUGGGGGACAUUGCCACCGUUUCAGCUGCCGCAGCUAACGCAUUAAGUGACUCCGCCUGGGGAAGUACGGUCCGCAAGGACUAAAACUCAAAGGAAUUGACGGGGGCCCGCACAAGCGGCGGAGCAUGCGGAUUAAUUCGAUGCAACGCGAAGAACCUUACCUAGGCUUGACAUGGGCCGGAACCGGGCUAGGAAAGCAGGUCUUCCCUUCGGGGAGCCGGUUCACAGGUGGUGCAUGGCUUGUCGUCAGCUCGUGUCGUGAGAUGUUGGGUUAAGUCCCGCAACGAGCGCAACCCUCGUUCAUGUUGCCAGCUCAGUAUGGCGGGACUCAUGGAGAGACUGCCGGGGUCAACUCGGAGGAAGGUGGGGAUGACGUCAAGUCAUCACUGGCCCUUAUGUCAUGGGCUUACACGCAUGCUACAAUGGCCGGUACAAAGGGUUGCAAUACCGUGAGGUUGAGCUAGUCUCAAAAAGCCGGUCUCAGUUCGGAUUGGAGUCUGCAACUCGACUCCAUGAAGUCGGAGUCGCUAGUAAUCGCAGAUCAGCAACUGCUGCGGUGAAUACGUUCCCGGGCCUUGUACACACCGCCCGUCAAGUCACGGAAGUUGGUAACACCGAAGGCCGGUGAGCCUAACCCCUUGUAGGAGGCAGCUGUCCCGAAGGAUGGUACUGGCGAUUGGGACU
rnacentral:rRNA from 1 species